rnacentral:rRNA from 1 species
CUACGGGAGGCAGCAGUGAGGAAUAUUGCACAAUGGGGGGAACCCUGAUGCAGCAACGCCGCGUGGAGGAUGACGCAUUUCGGUGUGUAAACUCCUUUUAUAUGUCAAGAAAAUGACGGUAGCAUAUGAAUAAGCACCGGCUAACUCCGUGCCAGCAGCCGCGGUAAUACGGCGGGUGCAAGCGUUACUCGGAAUCACUGGGCGUAAAGGACGCGUAGGCGGGUUGGAAAGUCAGGUGUGAAAUCCUACAGCUUAACUGUAGAACUGCACUUGAAACUUCUAAUCUAGAGUAUGGGAGGGGGAGAUGGAAUUAGUGGUGUAGGGGUAAAAUCCGUAGAUAUCACUAGGAAUAUCUAAAGCGAAGGCGAUCUCCUGGAACAUUACUGACGCUAAGGCGUGAAAGCGUGGGGAGCAAACAGGAUUAGAUACCCGGGUAGUC